GUCUUAGGGGCACCGGACUGUCCGGUGCGCCCCCUGACAGUGGGGCCAGCCAGCCCUGGGGGCAACGCCUCUGCCAUCGAGAAUACUCGAGAGCAACGAGUUGAGAAAAUAAAUUUUAGUCGUCACACCGAACAGCUAUUGUUCACUGUUCCGGUACACCAUCAACCCAACGACUAGCUGUCAGAACUAGCCGUUGGAGCUAGAGAUGUCAAUGGGGCCCCGAAACCCGAUUACCCGUGGGGAAUUCCUCUAUUAGGGUUAGGGUAUGGGUUAAAACAAAUCCCCAUGGGUAUAGAUUUGGAAUAAAUUCCUUACCCAUCGGGUAUGGCGGGUUCGGGUUUGGGAGGGCUAAACCCAAACCCGAUUACCCAUGGGGAAAAUUCCCCAGAACCGGAACAAUCUAGCUUCUAGGAUUUUUAGUCCAUUAAUCCAGCGAGCAGCUACUUGUGGCCUGGACGCCUGGUGGGCUGCCAACCAAGUAUGGUCGUAUGGGCCCGUGGGAAAGAAGCACCAAGCUACAAAGGAAACAACCAACAAAGUAAAAAAGCCUAAACUUCUAUGCACGUGAGCCCCAGGCGGCCAGGCCCCAACCAGCCGCCAGCCCCCACCAGUUGCUCGCUCAAGCAGUGCGCUGUGCGCAGCCGUCGGCCGCCGCUCGCUGGACAGCGCUCGCCCAGACGGCCAGACUGCCGCUCGCCCGGAGCCCCGGACGCAGAGCCCGGACCCCGGAGUCCCAGCCUCCCAGGACCGCCGCUCGCCCGCAAGCAGAGCCCGUCAGCCGCCGCUUGCUGGACGCUUGGACAGCCGCAGAGCCCGUCAACCGCCGCUCGCCCGGACGUCCGGAUGGCAUCUUCAUCGACGCCGACACCGAUGAACACUGCUGAGAAGCAAGGAAGGGUUUUGGAUGCUCAAGACAUCACCAUCAUUUGUCUCGAUGCGUGUGGUGCUAGCACAUCGAUGCCAUGAUGUUUAAUCACCACGUGUGUGGAUGCCAUGGAGAUGCUAUUGUUGUUGUUAUGGUGUUGAUCAGCAACGAACUUGAAGAGAACGGGUGAAUGUAUUGCUUCUAGUGGUGGUACAUGAGGCUGUUCAACUACGUCCACUACUUUGACAUGUUCUUAUUUCAUUAUAUUGUGUGUCUAGUAGUAUCUAUCUAUGAUCCUCUACCCAUAUGUUAUAUUGGUUAAACAUGGUAGAUAUGCUAAUGAGUAACAAACAUGUU